UGGAAAAAGUUAGUAGGUCUAUUUUAGGUAUAUUCCAGAAGGCCCAUGAUUUUACUAAAUUUUGCCUGAGUCUGACAGCUAACAAUUCAAAAGACUUUCAUACCUGAGGCUCUGUGGUCCCAGGUUCAAUCCCUAGCACUACCAUAAACUAGAGCUGAGCAGUGCUCUUGUAUCUCUCUCUCUGUCUCCAGAGUUAUAGCUGGGGCUCGGCAUCAGCACUAUGAAACUAUGAACUGCUCCUGUUGGCCAUUUUUCCCAUUUUAUUGGAUAGGACAGAGGAAAAUUGAGAGAGAAGGAAGAGAGGGAAAGAGAGAGAGAGAGAGAGUGCAAACGAGAUACACACACACAGCAGUUGAGACAGAGAGAGAGAGAGAGAGAGAGAGAGAGAGAAACAGAGACCUGCAGACCUGCUUCACCGCUUGUGAAGCUGCAGGUGCGGAGGAAGGGCUCGAACCUGGGUUCUUGUGCUUAGUACUAUGUGCGCUAAACUGGGUGCACCACUACCCGGCCCCUCUAUUUCUCCUUCUCUUUCACUAAAAAAAUAUUAAUAAUAUAAAUAAAUAAAUGAAUAAAAUAUCGAAAAUAAAACUCUGCUGAAUAACAGUUUAGUCGCAGUUUUCCCAACACACUCUCAGCAUUUCAAGAAUGUCUCUAAGUCUGUUUUUGCUUUUGCACCUUCCUGUGUGAGCAGACAUCCAUCCAAGCACGUCAAGUCUCGAGACAGCCUGUGUGACGCCAAAGAUGGACUACUUUCAACACUCACAGCUCCUGAGGAGGGGUUUUGCUUCACAAUUAUAACAUUCCUUUCCGCCAGCCCCCAGUCUGCCAGACACCAAGGGCACUUACAAAGAGCACCACACCCUUAGAUGCCAGGACCACCGGCGAAAGAUGACUCCAGCAAACAUUUUUAAAAGCAAUCACAAGCACACGCCUCACCCCAUGAUGAUGCAGAUUCACAAGCGCUCAGAUCAGUCUUCUCGGCCACAAAGAAGCUCUCAAAUGGUCUAAGGAGAAACUCUAAAAUAUUGACUCUAUAAGUAGCGUGCUGUAAGUAGUGUUUGACUUCAUUCACUUCCCUGUCCUCCCUCCCUACCGUAAGUUGCAGUCUUCAAAACAAAGCCAUCACUCCAUUAAUUACAAAGGGGGAACAAAAGGGUAUUGAUCUUAAGCAGUUCCAUUCUGCAUGUUUAGUAUUAACUGAAAGUUAUUCCUCUGACACCACUUAAAAGAAGGCUUCUGAGGCCCUAUAGAAAGUAUUGCUUUGAUGACCUCACCAAUGUGUCCCAGAACCUCACCCCUCCAGUGCCCUGCCCCACUAGGGGGAGAGAAACAGGCUGGGGUAUGAAUCCAUCUGCCAGUGCCCAUGUUCAGCGGAUAAACAAUGACAGAAGCCAGAACUCCCACCUUCGGCACCCCCAAAAGAAUUUUGGUUCAUACACCCAAAGGGGGAGAAAUGAUAGUGGGAAAAUGACCAGAGGGCUCUGACUUCCAACUUCAUCAGGACCCAGAGAGAGAAGAGGAAAAAGGGGCAUUCAGAAAUAGUACUAGGUAUAGUUGUAACUUGGAAAGGAAGAGAAAGCAGGACCAUAAGGAAAAAGAAGGGCAAAUAUAUAUAUAUAAAUAUAGACAAAUAGUUGUAAAAAUAAUAGUCCAAGGGCCAGGUGGCGGUGCACCUGAUUGAACACACAUGUUACAAUGCACAAGGAUCUGGGUUCAUACCCCUAGAUUCCACCUGCAGGGGGAAAGCUUCAUGAGUGGUGAAGUAGUGCUACAGAUGUCUCUUUCUCUCCCCCUCUAUCUCCCCCUUCCUCUCAAUUUAUGGCUGACUCUAUCAAAUAAAUAAAGAUAAUAAAAAAUUUAAAAAUAAUAGUUAACCCAUAUCUGCAACCUUGGGAGAACUUUGUAGCUUCCAAUGGAGGAAAUCAGGACAUAGAACUCCCUUGUUAUAUCUUUAUACCUCUGUUAUCUUAUAAUUUUGUAAAUCAUUAUUAAGUCACUAAUAAAACUAUAUCAAAAAGAAA